rnacentral:rRNA from 1 species
UCGAGAAUCUUCGGCAAUGGGCGCAAGCCUGACCGAGCGACGCCGCGUGGAGGACGAAGGCCUUCGGGUUGUAAACUCCUGUCGAGGGGAAUCAAGGGGGCGUGGAGAACGCCCCUCGAGAGAUCCCUGGAGGAAGCACGGGCUAAGUUCGUGCCAGCAGCCGCGGUAAGACGAACCGUGCGAACGUUAUUCGGAAUCAUUGGGCUUAAAGGGCGCGUAGGCGGGUCGGCACGUCGGAGCUGAAAUCCCCCGGCUCAACCGGGGAGCGGGCUCCGAUACGGCUGGCCUCGAGGUGAGAAGGGGGACCUGGAACGUCCGGUGGAGCGGUGAAAUGCGUUGAGAUCGGACGGAACGCCGAUGGCGAAAGCAAGGUCCUGGACUCAUUCUGACGCUGAGGCGCGAAAGCCAGGGGAGCGAACGG